rnacentral:rRNA from 1 species
AAUAGCUACUUGCAUCAUUGUAAAUAUGAUGCAAGAUCGACUAUGUCGAAUAAAAUUCUAGGUAGAAUUAUGAUAAUGACAUUGUCUGCCUAUGUGUCUUGACCAAAUUACGUGCCAGCUGUCGCGGUAAUACGUAGAAGACUAGUGUUAUUCAUGUUUAAUCGGUUUAAAGGGUACCUAGACGGUAAAUCAAGCCUAAAAAGAAGGAAAUAAAGGGACUAAUUUACUAGAGUUACUUAUGAGGGGGUAUUAAAGUACUGCUGGUGUAGAGAUGAAAUUCUGUCAUACCUCUUUUCAAUAGAAAAAUAAUGGCACAGGUAUAGGCGAAGGCAUCCCCUUAUGUGAUAACUGACGUUGAGGGACGAAGGCUUUGUGUAGCGAACAGGAUUAGAUACCCCAGUAGUCAAAGCAGAAAAUGAUGAAUGUCAUAGAUUAGAUAUAUAAGUUUAUUCUAUAAAUGAAAGUGUAAGCAUUCCACCUCAAGAGUAAUUUGGCAACAUUGGAACUGAAAUCAUUAGACCGUUUCUGAAACCAGUAGUGAAGUAUGUUGUUUAAUUUGAUAAUCCGCAAAAAACCUUACCACAAUUUGAAUAUUUAUAUUUUUUUUUAUUGUUUUUCUUUUUAAUUAUCUUCCGAUUUUCUAGUUAAAGGAAAACUAGAAGAAAAAGAAAAAAAAGGCAAUAAGAUAA